AGAUGUGGGUGUUUGGUUAUGGGUCCCUCAUUUGGAAGGUGGACUUCCCCUACCAGGACAAGCUGGUUGGUUACAUCACAAACUACAGCCGGCGCUUCUGGCAAGGCAGCACCGACCACCGCGGGGUCCCCGGCAAGGGGAACCCUCUGCUACAAACACCAGUCCCAGGAACCUGAGACAGAAAGCUCACCAGAAAUUCAAGCCUGGAAGAGUUGUGACCCUUGUUGAAGAUCCUGGGGGCAGUGUAUGGGGUGUUGCUUACAAACUACCAGUCGGGAAAGAAGAGGAAGUAAAAACAUACCUUGACUUCAGAGAGAAAGGAGGCUACAGAACUACAACAGUCAUUUUUUAUCCAAAAGAUUCCACAACAAAACCAUUCAGUGUUUUGCUCUACA
rnacentral:lncRNA from 1 species